rnacentral:sRNA from 1 species
UCACGGGAACAGCCGAGCAUUCAGGGCAGGAGCGGGGGACCCAGGUAAGCCGCCGUCCGGGGACACCGGACGGCUCGGGGUGAAGUCGUGCCGCCGAACGCCCGCCGCGCAGCGCGGGCACGGUGAUCACGGCCGGGCAUCUCCUGCCCGAACCCGACAGCUCACCUCGCAGGCGUAGGAGAGGAAUU